rnacentral:lncRNA from 1 species
UGUGGCGACACAUGCAAUGCAGAUCAAUAUGGUCUUAAAAUACAGUCCCUAGACCACUGGUGGUUGUGGAGUGACUUCUAAGGGGGUUUCCAGACAGCACAGGAACAGAGACCACAGAAAGUAAAAGAGCCUGUAGACUUUGAGUGACUGCUGUGGAAAAUUGUCACCAGACUCUGAAAGCACCAGGCACAGAGAUAAUGAAGCUGCUGCCAUUCUAGAAGGCUCCACUUGGAAUCACUGUGAUUGGAUCUCACCAUGUCUCAGGAUGACCUGGUGGCAUAGGACAGAAGAGGAGCUGGAGUUCAAAGGAAGCCUCAGAUGAAAAGUAAUGGAUCCUACAUAUAGCAGACACCAAGUACAGUGAUUCCGAGGUUCCCGAGAAGCAGCGCAAACCAGUCCUUAUUCUAAGGGUUAGAGGAGAGUCGUGUAAAGUC